rnacentral:snoRNA from 1 species
AUUUGAUGAUGGGGGCAACUUGCACAUUGUUUCUUGAAACGCUCCCAAUAUUUGUGUAGAGAUUCCAUGUUAUUCUGCCUCAAUCCACAAAUUUCUUUUCUAAUAU